ensembl:lincRNA
AUGCUUCACCAAUUGAAUUAUGACAGAACUGUGGGGAAGCCACAUGUGAGCCCAGAAUUGAGUCAGGACACUGCAGGUAACAUCCAUACGUUUAAAGACAGCACCGUGAGAUCUUUAAAUGACUUCAGCUGGGCACCCGAACCAAACGGACCUCCUACAGCAGUAUCUCCUGCUUUUACGAUACGAAAUUGUUUUGGAAUUUCUGGGACAGAUGGAAUGGUGCCAGUUACUGCCCUAGCUACGCUACUUACAGCACCUGUAUGGCCACUAAGACAUUGUGUUUGCAGCCAAUGUGUCUCAACUGACUGUGCAGUCCACCAGUUCCACCCUGUCCAAGGUAACUGAGACACAGUGCAAUUUCUAGAAUGUCACCCUGCCAGGCAGCAGGUCUGAAUUACCUCUGUGAACUUGCCUCAGGUGAGUGUAUCGGAUUUGUCAAGUCGCAUAAAACACAAUGAGCAGGACAAACUUGUCAGCAGAUGAGCCAUACCGCCUGUUGACUAAUGAGAACCUUAAAAGGAUAGAUUACCCAUAAACACUGAUAAUGUGCACUCUUCUAUAUGUGGUAUAUGCUAUUCAUGUGGGUCUUGGAAAUAUAGAAAAGUAUCUUGAUAAUGUAAGAGGAUAGUUACCUGAGUCUUACCUGGUUACAUGUGACACAUAAAAGUUUAUUCAAAGUACAAGUGCUGUCUAUAUAUAUACAUUAUGCUUUUGUUUCAAGAGCACAAAUGGAUUUUAUAACUGCAACAAAAAGACACCUAGUUUGGCUAAAAAAUGUUCAAGCACCUCUGUGUUAUACAUUAACAUUUGUUUAUAUAGUGUAACUGAAAGUUAUGCAUUACACCAGCCAUAAUGCCUACGUUAAAGAAACAAUUCAGUAAUAAUUCAUAUUAGGUGAUAGAAAUAACUAUUUGCAUAUUAAUUUCAUGUUAAUGGAUGUGUUAUUACUUUCCAGUUCUGUUUGACUAAAUGAAGACUUUUUUUCAGGAAGGUAGUGAAAACAAUGAAAAGUACUGUACCUGCCCUUCUUUUACCUAAAUUACUUUCAUUUCUUAUCUUUUGUUGGCGUCUCUUUCAUGUGCGCUGAGGACCAAGCCUUUAGAAAAUCCGCUGCCUCUUCUGGAAAAAUAGUAAUUUCUUAAUAUUCUUAUUAUUUCUGCUGUUGUCCAAUUAAUCUUAUUUUGCAUAAAAAUAUAAUUUCAAAUAAUAAACAUUCCUAUAACUGAUUUAAAAUGCAGAUGCAUAGACAUUUGACAUUAAUUUAUGCCACAAUGAAUACCAACAAGUCAACUUAGGCAUCACAUCCAGUAUAAUUGCAUCCACACCUACAGUAAGGUUUUCAUUGCACUACACUAUUAUAAUUCUGUAUUUGUAUCUAGAUUUAAGCUUUAAUUCAAUUGCUCUUCUAGGUAUAUACAUGUGUUCCUCACUUUUUGUCUUGGAAAUCAUUUUUGCAAUAACGGGUUGUCUUGGGAUUGCUGACACAGGUAAUCAAUCACAUUACUCAUGGCAAACUGCUAUGUAAUUACCCGCAAUAGGAUGCAAUGUUAUUUUUUGCCAAAGGUGAGAUGCUUAUCUGGGACACAGUCCCCUAAUUAAUGACUAGGGGAGCAGCUGAGGGGUAGAGUUUGCUUUAGUGAAUGUGGGUAAUUUUUUUUUCAUUUUAAUGUCUGAAUUUUUAACCAGUCCUGAAGUCUGUUAUCCUGAAAACUUAAUUCAGAAAAUGAAUGAUGCUUACAGGGAGCAAUACAGAUUUCCCCACAGCGUUUCAGUGUUUACAUGUGAAAUGUCAAAGUGAACUGUAAUGAUCGAUCUGUGCAGGCUUUUGGUCUUUUAAAAGGAAAACAGAUGAAAAAUAAACUGGCAAUUCAAUUUUCUAUUUUUUUCCCAUUGUCAAUCCUGUCUUAUUUAUGCACGAGGCCGGGGAUCUAUUUUUUACAACAGUGAAUUGUUUUACCAAAAGUCUGUUUGAAAUGUAUUUUGUUUGCGACGUGGGGAUUAAAUGUUUCUCUCGGCAGAAACAUUAGAGCCUUUCAGGGCGAUAUUUACCUAAGAUCGAUCUCCAUUUUUCUGCACUGUUUCGUAUUCAGUGACCACUUCAGUAAACUCAGCUUGUUUGUGUGUAUAAAGUCUCGUUGUUUUCUAGACAUGUUGCUGAUAAACCAGAAUAUCGUUCUCAUGUUUGAUCAGGAUAUAUGUAUUGGAAGAUGAGUAACAGACGUGUAUUCACUUAUAAUACGUAUAAUAUUAAUGUCAUUAUAAU